CCUACGGGAGGCAGCAGUGAGGAAUAUUGGUCAAUGGUCGGGAGACUGAACCAGCCAAGCCGCGUGAGGGAUGAAGGUACAGAGUAUCGUAAACCUCUUUUGUCUGGGAACAAAGGCGGGGACGUGUCCCCGGAUGAGUGUACCUGAAGAAAAAGCAUCGGCUAACUCCGUGCCAGCAGCCGCGGUAAUACGGAGGAUGCGAGCGUUAUCCGGAUUUAGUGGGUUUAAAGGGUGCGCAGGCGGUCUGUUAAGUCAGCGGUCAAAGCCCGGGGCUCACCCCCGGCCCGCCGUUGAAACUGGCAGUCUCGAGUUGGAGAGAAGUAUGCGGAAUGCGCGGUGUAGCGGUGAAAUGCAUAGAUAUCGCGCAGAACUCCGAUUGCGAAGGCAGCAUGCCGGCUCCACACUGACGCUGAGGCACGAAAGCGUGGGUAUCGAACAGGAUUAGAUACCCUUGUAGUC
rnacentral:rRNA from 1 species